GACUGCGCGUGCUACCAUGCAGUCGACGAUGACCACUUCGGUGGGGAUUAGUGGCGAACGGGUGAGUAACACGUGGGCAAUCUGCCCUGCACUCUGGGACAAGCCCUGGAAACGGGGUCUAAUACCGGAUACUGAUCAUCUUGGGCAUCCAAGGUGUUCGAAAGCUCCGGCGGUGCAGGAUGAGCCCGCGGCCUAUCAGCUUGUUGGUGAGGUAGUGGCUCACCAAGGCGACGACGGGUAGCCGGCCUGAGAGGGCGACCGGCCACACUGGGACUGAGACACGGCCCAGACUCCUACGGGAGGCAGCAGUGGGGAAUAUUGCACAAUGGGCGAAAGCCUGAUGCAGCGACGCCGCGUGAGGGAUGACGGCCUUCGGGUUGUAAACCUCUUUCAGCAGGGAAGAAGCGAAAGUGACGGUACCUGCAGAAGAAGCGCCGGCUAACUACGUGCCAGCAGCCGCGGUAAUACGUAGGGCGCGAGCGUUGUCCGGAAUUAUUGGGCGUAAAGAGCUCGUAGGCGGCUUGUCACGUCGGUUGUGAAAGCCCGGGGCUUAACCCCGGGUCUGCAGUCGAUACCGGCAGGCUAGAGUUCGGUAGGGGAGAUCGGAAUUCCUGGUGUAGCGGUGAAAUGCUCAGAUAUCAGAAGGACGACCGGGUGGGGAAAGGCGGAUCUUCUGGGCCCAUACUGACGCUGAAGGAGCGAAAGCGUGGGGGGGCGAACAA
rnacentral:rRNA from 1 species